rnacentral:lncRNA from 1 species
GCCAUUUGAGUAUAGUUCUGUGGACUCGGACGCAUUAACGCGAAGGAAAUUUUUUUCCUUGUACUUUUUUUUGGUUUUCCUUUUUUCUUUUUUGUAGGUCAAGCAAGAAAGAUAUGUUCUUGUUCAACAAGAUAAUCUAUGCAUGAAGAACGCGGUCAUAGGGUGUCGGAGAGAUUACUCUCACUGUGGCCCGAGUAGCAGAGAGAUUACUCUCAAUAUGGCCCGAUUACCAGAGAAAUUACUCUCAAUGUGGCCUGACUACUGAAGAGAUUACUCUCAAAAUGGACCGACUACCGGAGAUAUUACUCUCAAUGUGGAUCGUCUACUAGAGAGAUUUCUCUCAAAAUGACCCGACUAGCAGACUUUGCAGACUUCAACUCGUAGAUUUGGAGGGGUUUAAACAAUUAACUUUAAGGUUGGUGAAUUCGAAGACUGAAAAUUGAAGACUUGGAAGGCUUAAAUAUUUCAACUUUAAGACUGGCAUUGAAACUUGAAGACCGACGAACUUGAAGACUUCAACUUGGAGACUUGGAAGGCUUAAAUAUUUCAACUUGAAGAGUGGCGAAAACGUGAAUACUUCAACUUGAAGACCGACAGACUUGAAGACUUUAAUUUGGAGACUUCAACUUGAAGACCGGCGAACUUGAAGACUUCAACUUAGAGACUUCGAGGGUUUAAAUAUUUCAACUUCUCUUUUGCUUUACAUUGUCCGACUUUUAUCUUAGUCGCAUAAUUUUCAGCUUUACACGCUUGUAACAAACGAUUCAUAUCUUAGCGUGGGAGAGUCCAAAUAACGAACCGUUUGAUUUCUCAAAAAUUAAACUUCAGUAUCUAAAAUAUAACCAAAUUUAGAAUCAAACACCUUCAAAAUCUCCCGGAUAAUAUUUUGUAACCAACUUUAGAUUUCACCAUGUUGAAAAUUUCAAAUUUGUGCAGCCUCACCACAAAAAAAUCAUAUCUUAGUAUGGAAGCCUCGAGAUUGGAAGAUGUCUUACUUGCCAUCAAUAGAAAUUUAAGAGCUAUAUUCUCGCAAAAAUCUUGAGUUCAAGUCUCACUGAAUUUGAAACGUUGUGCCAAGCAAUCUUUUCCUUAUACUUGUGUUUUCUUUUGACGCCUCUCUUCUCUUCCCCUUUUUAGGCAAAGGGCAGACUUGGAGACCAACAAACUUGAAGGUUUGGCGAACCUGGAGACAUAGAGAACCCCUGAACCUCAAUGCAAAUACUUGACAUCCUCCUAAAAUCGGUCCAUUAAAGAUAUCAAUUUACCAUGGAGGGUUACCCCCUUUAAAUUAAAUGAGAUCAAAGUUCAAAAGGAGGAUGGCAUUUCAGCUUGAUACUUCAUUUGAACAACAAUUGGGGCAAUAUGUAUUUUUUGAACUUAUACGACUGAACUUAGAAUGAAACUCUAAGCUGCCUGCAUACCUCGGUGAAGAAGAUCAAUCCAUACCAUAGUUCAGACUGGGUGACUUAGUUUUUAAUUUUUUUUAUGUUCUAACUUUUGUCUAGGCUACCUCUUUCGAAGUUUUCAACCUAGCAGACUUUUUUUUGCGAGGCCAUGCACAGAUUAGACUCAUGAAGGCCAGGAGUGUAGCAACUUGCAGUUUAGGCUCAUGCGUCAAGGAGCAUCGCAACUUCAAGGAUAAUACUUCUUUAAAAACUUGCCAUUGGUAGGGCUGAUUCUCAUGUCAUCUACAUCAAACAACUUGUAAUCCCCACUUGAGUAAGAUUCUUGUAUGACAUAUGGUCCAUCCCACUUUGAAGUGAACUUCCAUAUAGGUUUAUGAAAAGUAAUUAUGGGACUUCGUACGGAAAGAACUUGAUCUCCUACUUGAAAGGAUCUUGAGAAAACCCUUUUAUUGAAGGCGCGAGACAAUCGAGCUUGAUUGCAUUCAAGACUCUGUUGAGCUUCCAACCUCUUCUCAUCAAGAGCCUCCAAUUCUGCUAAUCAAAUUCGAGAAUUUUCUUCAUCAAUGACUCCUUCUUGAAUAUGCAGUCGUAACGAAGGUAUUUGACGUUAAGUGGCAAGAUGACUUUGACUCCAUAAACGAGUGAAUAAGGAGUCGCCUGUGUUGGCGUGCAGUGAGUCAUCAUAUAUGCCCAUAGAGCUUUUUCUAUACGGUCAUUCCAAUCUCAUUUGGAUUUGGAGACGAAUUUCUUUAACAAGUUGCAUAGAGUUUUGUCAAAUGCCUCAACUAGACCACUGACAGUAGCAUUGUACAUUGAAGAGUUACGUUGCUUGAAGCCAAAGAGAUCACAAAUCUUGUACAUCAACCUAUUAUCGAAUGGCUUUCGCUUAUCCAUUAUUAUGUAACAAGGAAUGCCAAAGAGAUAAAUAAUGUU